UAGGGAAUCUUCGGCAAUGGACGAAAGUCUGACCGAGCAACGCCGCGUGAGUGAAGAAGGUUUUCGGAUCGUAAAACUCUGUUGUUAGAGAAGAACAAGGACGUUAGUAACUGAACGUCCCCUGACGGUAUCUAACCAGAAAGCCACGGCUAACUACGUGCCAGCAGCCGCGGUAAUACGUAGGUGGCAAGCGUUGUCCGGAUUUAUUGGGCGUAAAGCGAGCGCAGGCGGUUUCUUAAGUCUGAUGUGAAAGCCCCCGGCUCAACCGGGGAGGGUAAUUGGAAACUGGGAGACUUGAGUGCAGAAGAGGAGAGUGGAAUUCCAUGUGUAGCGGUGAAAUGCGUAGAUAUAUGGAGGAACACCAGUGGCGAAGGCGGCACUCUGGUCUGUAACUGACGCUGAGGCUCGAAAGCGUGGGGAGCAAACAGG
rnacentral:rRNA from 1 species